rnacentral:lncRNA from 1 species
UUAAAAUUAAACCCUAAUUAAUCCUCAUGUAUAUAUGUAUUAAUGUUGUUGCUAAAAUUGGGAGGAGAUCCACUCACAUAUUGGAUCACACGCGGACCACACAAAAUAAAAAGAGGGAGAGAGAGACCAUAUAAAUUUACUCCACGCGGCUACUCAUGGGAGUAGGAUUGUUGAAUGUUGAAAAAUUAAAAACAAGAGAAAAAGUUGAAAGCAAAUCAAGAAAAAUCUAAGAAUUUCUUUUGCCAUUCUUCUUUAUCUCUCGCCUAACUCCCUCCCUUUCUUUUGUUCACCACUUACCUCCAUCUACUUCAUCAUCCAACCAACAUACAUAACAUACUCCCUUCAUCUUUCUUUCUUUCAAAUCCCACUGAACCUUUCCUUUCUUCUUCGAUAUUCUCCCCAUAUCAACUACAUAACCAACACACAUACUUUAUCCUCCACAUCAAAUAACAUAAAACUUCUCAAAUCCUCCUCUAAUCCUUCUUUCAUUUCAAAACAACAAUAACAAAAUACCACCCUGCAAACUCAAACCAAACACAAACUAAAACACAACCUUGUUCUCCUUUCGAUCUUCAAGUAACCUCACACGAUAUCUCUAUCAGAUUAUUCAUCACCUCCUUGAACUCAAAAAAGGACCUGCAAAAAACUAUUCUUCUUCUCCCUUCCUACUAACUCCGACGGACACCUCAACUCCCUCCGUCAACACCCCUUCUGGCCGCCUUUAUCAACCUACGAGACCACCACGCAAGUGUUCAAAGUCACCAUUUCCAGUAUCACCUCCUUGCUAAACUGCAUAUGUUUUCACCACCAAACGAAACCACAAAAUUCUCACAUCCUCCUCACCUCUCGACCUCCAUCUCGUGUUUCCUUUAAACACUUUCCAGCGACACAACCACAACCACUCACCAAAACCUCCAUGACAAUAAUAACUAUGACACCUUAUCGAUGUAAAACUCUUUUCUCGUAUUCUCCUUUUGUUUAACUUAGUUUGAGAUUGGUUAUUGUUUUGUUGAUGAGAGGAGAUUAAGAAUAUUAAGAGAGAUGAGGUGAGAGAUUUGAAAGAGGGAGUUUUAGUUUUUGUAAAAAAAAAUUGU